AAUUUCAAAUCUUUUCGACAUCAUUUGCCUAAUGAUCAAAAUGUUUCAAAAUUUAUAAUUUUAAUGGUCGAUAUGAGGCGUUUUCUCGUUUAACGGUGUAAAAAUAUCCAAAUCAAUUAAAUUUUUGUUAGAAAAUUCUUUAAACUAUUUAAAACAAGAUCUAUACUCUUGAUCUUGAUUACAAGACUCCUAUCAUCAUUUUUUAAAGAAUAUUUAUUUUCAGCCGUUCAUUUUUGUGUCCACUCGAUGAAUAAGAGAAUAAUAUCGGAAAUGUAUGAAAUUUAAUUUCUAAACACUUCAAGUGGUAUAGAUCACAUACAACGGUGCCGAUCAUCGAUUUGAAGGCUCCAUCAUAAAAAACAAAUGGAUUGCAACGGAGCUUGUUUGCUAUCGAUAGUAUUCUAGCUCAACUCUAUAUAUAUAUAUAUACUUUAUAAAAUAAUAUUAAAAUUUUAAAAAAUAAAUUAAAAACAUUUAAGCGUUU
rnacentral:lncRNA from 1 species